GACCACAGCCCCGAGCACAGCCCCGACCACAGCCCCGAGCACAGCCCCGAGCACAGCCCCGAGCAUGCAGGGCAGGGGCGUUACCAUGAUGUCUGCGUAGUCUGUGGGCAUCUGGAUCUGCUUCUCCCCUUCCCGAGAACCGAUGGGGGUCCCUUCCCCAGGCUUCCCUGGGUUGUGUUUUUUCAGCCACAUGUCAUAGGUCUGCUGCAUGUCCAGGACUGGGCAGGGACAGGGACAGGGCACCUGCUGAGGGCUUCUCCAUCCGUUCUGCCCCAUGGUCCCCACUUGCUUUGGGAGCCGUCGGCAUCCCAAGUCCUGCUGCUGGGCUGCUGGGCUUCAGGGCCUGGCCUCAGAGAGGGCCCGGCCUGGGGUAGGCGGGGAAGGGCCCAGGCAGCAAAAGGGGGUGCAGCAGACGCUCUUGGGCCCGCUGGUGAGUUGAGACUUUCAGCACUGAAGAGACACCGGGGGAGGCCCGCCCACCCCGUCUGCCCACUCACUCUUGUUCUCCUUCAUGAAGGUCCACAUGUCCCUCUCCUCCGGGCUGUGGGCAAAGGAGCAGUUCCCCACAUAUUGGCACUUGCGGCCGUUCUGUGCAUGGAUGCAGAGCUGCGGGGUGGGCAUGGGGAGAGCCUCUGAGUCCCGCUGGAAAGCAUCGCUGCCUCGUCGGGGCCCCCCACCCCCCGUCCCAGCACUCACAUCGUAUUGCUGUGGGAAGUUGCGAAUGGACGGCAGGGGCCUCACUGACACCCACUUCCUCUUGGCCUUGGACAUCACCAGAAGGACCCGCCGCUCCUUGGUCCAGCUGCAGGACACAGCAGGGUUGGGGAGAGGUCAGGGCACAGCCUGUGUGCUGUGUGACCUCUGUGGAGAGCCCUGGCCUCUCUCAGUUGGCCUCCACACCUGUGGUGGUUGGGUGGCCCCGUCCCACCUGAGCCCACACCUGGCAUCCCACUCACCAGUGCCGGGCCUUGGCACUGCAGUACUUGAGGUCCUUGUCAGGCUCCACCACCUGCCCGUUCCUCCAGCACUGGCCACAUACGAACUUCAUUUGCAGGUCAAAGGUGCUGGGCCCAUGUGUCCUCGGGGCACCCUGUCAGGGGAUGGGGAGGGGCGUUGGUGAAGCUGCAAGCACCAGGCCUGAGGCCCUGGGGUCUUCACACAGGUAGCCUCCGGGAGAGCCUUGGAAUAAGCUGGUCUGCUCCGGGGUCUUCCUGGUAGGCAGUGACCUCCCAACUGCAGGCCCAAGGGCUUCUCAGGGGAGCCAGGCCUGGAACGGGGCUCCUCUUUCCACCCUCUGUGGCUGGUCCCUGCCUCGCCCAGCUCCCUGGGAGGCCUGCUCGGUGGAAGCUGCAUUUCCCAGGGCAAAGCUCCGUUCUGCCACACUCCCUGCCUUUGCACAGGCUGUUCUCGCUGCCCUUCCUCCAUUCUUCAUCCAGCCUGUUCUAGAAAUUCCUUCAAAACUCAGCUCAAGCGCAUCUCCUGUGGGAAGCCGGCCCUGGAGCUCUCCUAAGCUGCAGCUGUCCAUUCCGUGAGCUCCCACAGUCUCUAAACUGCUCCUGUUGACCGACUCACCCGACUAUGAGUGCCGAACCUGUAGAGUGGGGGGUCCGGGAGAUGGGAAGCCACCCCGGUGGGGGUGGGGUGGUGGUGGCAGGAGUCAGCCUUGGGCGGUGGGACAGGCAUCUGGGUGGCCCUGGUCUCUGGCCCUCCCUCCAGGGCAAGGCCUUGCUGGUCUCUAAGGCCCCACCUACCACGUUCCUUCUCUGCCCUAUGUCCCAGCCUUUGGCCUGCUCUUCUGCACCCCUGGGACAGGGUUGGGAGCCAGAGGUGGGAAAAGUGCUCGCUCCGCCUUGUCUCCUGCCACCUCGAACCCCCUCAGCUGGCUACAGUGGCCAGCCUGCUGCUCUGGGAAUGCACCAGCUGUCCCUCCUCCCUCAUGUAAACUCGAGCCUCCCGGUCUUCCAGGAUCCUCGGGUGCAGGGUCACCCCUCGCUCUUCCAGGCUGCUGGGCGUGAUCCUCCUGCCACAGGAACUCCCCUGCAGGAGCUGCGGCCUACUCCCCUGUGUCCCCAGCACUGCCCUGGAGCAGGAAGGAGCUGUCCUCAUGGCUGACUGACCCCUGGCCUGGCGUUGGACAGCUCGCGGGCUGCUCAGCCCCAGGAUAACACACAUGUGACCCCGGUAAUAAGAUGUGGCCUUCCACCUUGACCUAUGGCCCCUGCUCCACGACAGCCAAUCAUCAUCGGUGUUUACUUGGGGCAAGACACUGCACUUGACAUCCAGUUUCUUGCUGAUGAUCCGCAAGUUCUCUGAAACUGAGGGCCUCGACUAGACCAUGGCUGAAUGCCCCGACAAGAGAAGGUGCUCAGUAAGUCCCUGGUGGGUGAGCGGGAGAACGCCUUCCAGUCCCCGCAGCAGCUCUCCGAGGUAGAGAUGGGCUCCCCAUUUCCCAGAUGAGCACUGGAGGCUCAGUGAGGAGCAGGGACUUGCUGCCGACCACCCAGGGAGCAAGCAGAGGCAUCGCUGCAGGAGCCCAGGUGACUCCCUCCCCUCUCCGUGCUCCCUGGACGGCGCCUGUGAGGGGAAAAACCCAGAUCUCCAAGCCUGGAAGUGUCCUGAGAGCAGAGCUUCUCUCCUCUGUGGUGCCUAGGACUCACCAGCUCCUCCAGAGAGCCCACCCCGCAGCCACCUCCCCUGAACUCUCCCGAAGUCCCCUCCAGCAACCAGGGGGCCUGGCCUGUCACCCCCAGUCAGUCCUGCGCUCCCUCCACCUGCACCGCCUGCCCCUCACCUGAGUACUGCUGCAGCAGCCAGACCUUGAGCUCAAUGAAGCUGUGGGCGAAGUGGCAGCUGUCCUCCCGCAGGCAGCCGUAGCGCACCUCGUGGCGGCACACGUCGAACUGGAAGUGCUCCUGGAACUGGCGGAUCUUGGAGUACUUGAGGGAGGUGGAGCGGACGAUGUGCACCAGGCACCUGGCAGGCAGGUGGGAGGGGCACGAUGCAGUCUGCAGCCCCUCUGACCUUCUCUCCUUGUAGGGCCACCUUCCCAGUGCCAGGCUCUCCCUGGGCACCCCCUGAUCUAGGUACCAAGUCCAGGCCAUGGAUGACACAGGAGGGCAGAAACGGGGCUCCUAUGCUCAGGCAUCCCUGGGCCUGGGUCCCAGUGCUGCUUUACUUCUGUCCCUCCCCUUAGGAUUCAAAGCUGGAGCUGCCAGCAAGCAGAGGACACCACCCUCAGGUUUCCAGCUUGAUUCUGCAGGGCUGGUCCUGCACCCUGAGGACACUAACCAAGCAUGUCCUCCGGGCCAGGAGUCUUAAUUACCCUCACUGCAGCCUCAGGAGCCUAGAGCAUCAUCAACUUAACAGACGAGGAAACCCGGGCUUGGACUAAGACAGGACUGGCCCAGGAACUGGACCCAGGUCUGUCUGACUGCAGGGCCUGGGCUCCAUAUGCGCACUGUGGCAGAACCAAGGGGAACAAGAGGAAGAAAGGGGUGGCGCCAGACCUGACCCAGGCCUCCCCUCACUGCCUGAUGCUGAUGUCAUGACAUUGGAGGGUGCUGGGCUAGAGUCAGAGACGGGGCCCCCUGCUCGCUGUCUGCUGAGUAAGCUGAGUAAGCUACUUCCAAGCCUCAGCUUUUUCUUCUGUUCAACACAGCCAGUAACUCCUCCCUCACAGGAUUGCUAAGAUAAUUAACAUACCCAAGGCAAUGCUUGGAAUAUAGUAGAUGUUCGAUAAAUGUGAUUCGCAUCCUUUCCAGGUGGAGGCUGGAUUUGAUUCCCAAAUUCUGCCCCUUUCCUUGCACCCUAGGUCCACUCUUUCAGUUCAGUCUUUCCUCAGCCAUCUGAGGAACGGACUCUCCAGUGGCCCCCAGGCCCCAGCCUGGGCUGAGGGUCCCACUCACUUGUUGUUGUAGAAGCUGUGCUUGGCAGCCAGGUUGGAGCAGACAGACGGAGAGUCCUUGGUGCCUUUGCUGAUGAUCCGGGGUUUACUGUCAAAGCAGAUCUGCCCAGGGAGGGGAAGGGCUGGGACCUGGCAUGGCCACCUGGGAAGGGGGUGAGCUGGGAUCCUGCACAGCUACCUGGGGAAGGACAGCUGGGUCCCUGCAAGCCCUGCCCUGGGUCAGAGGAGUGAGGAAGGGAAUCCCAGGGGCUGUGGCCUUGUCUCUCUGGUUCCAGCUCACAGGUGACCUGGGCCUUGGCUCCCUUCCUCGCCCUCCUUCCCCCUCUGAUCCCACCACUCCCAAUGCCUGGGGCAGGGGGUUACUUCAUGUCAAAAAAAUAGAUAAAAAGGAAUGACAGUGCUUUAUAAACUAUAGGCUGUCACCUGGCUAUGAACUAUGAUUCUGAGGCCAAUGCUCCCCGCAGGGGGUUGGCACAAGUCCCGACCUCAAAGAGUUAGGGGAAGGGCUGGUGGUGCCAGGGAUGAGGGUUGGACUGAGCCACAGCAAACCCUGCCAGCAACCCCGACCUGGAGCCCGUGCUCUGCGGACACAGACGUGCCACUGCCCCUGCCCU